GCCACCAGUCGAAUCAUCGCAUGGGACGAAUGGUGGAACCGAAAGAUUAAGGUAACGGUUUCACAACUUCUCAAAAACUCGUGGUCGUAAAUGUGCAUUUCUGUGCUCGUUCAAUGCUUUUUUGUGAAUUGGUUUGUGUUUACAUUGUCAUCAGACUGUUUUGUAGGCUUUGAAGAAAUGUUGAACAAGUUAUUAAUAUUUAUCAGCAGUCCAUAAUUAUUUCAAAAGAUUUAAGCAAACAUAAAUGUAAUCGUUGUCCAACUUUGAUAACUUGCUUUUCUUGAUUUGGGGAUGAUUGGUUGAGCAUGUUCGUGCAAUCAUAACUGACAACUCUCAUCCUAAUUCUUGAUGUGGUUCAAUUUCUAGUUUUAAAGUUCUUUAAUUGUAAUGAAAUAUUUGGUUAAUACUUUCCAUUUCAUAUUGCAAUCUUUGCAAAUUGGUGGCAGCAGUUACACUCGUAUUAAAUCAUGGUGCAUUUUUCAUUGAUUUCAUUUCGAUGUGUCAAUAUGGCAAGGGGAUAGUGAUGAUAUUCAAACAAGUUUCUCGUGGUCUAAAGUAGAAACAUUCUCGUUGUUCUUUUCUAAUAACUCUCUUCUCAUAAGCUGGCUGUCAGUGCAAAAGAAUUUCCACACAAACUAAGCUCAAUCUUCGUAUUUAUUUAUGGAAGUACACAUCCUAGUUGGUUAUAACACUUUUUUGCUAAUUUUGAUUGAAAGCCUUUGUCAAAGAUUGAACUCUUAGCUGGCUGACAGUCCAAAUGACUUCCCACAAACUAAGCGCAAUCUCAAUAUCUGAUUUAUUUACUAUUAAGUAAGAGAACAUUCUGACUGUGUUAUAAAGCAUACGAAAUGUUUGCAAAAGUUGGUUGUAAAAUUUUGGUUAGGAGAUUUAAGCUCAUUUCCUGCUUGAUAGUGCUUUUCAUCUACUUGGUUGUUGAAAAAACAAUGAAUGAAAUUAGAUAGGAUGCGGUGUCUUAUAUUUGUGAAGAAAUGCUAGAAGGAUUCAUAUACUUGUUUAAUAGUGUUAGAUCUUUAGAUCAUAUUGUGCUUAUCACCUGGUAUAAUGAAAAGUUUAUUAGUUCUGAGAUAUUCUUUGUUCUCAAAGGUAAACAUGAAAAUAUAAACAUGUGUCAGCUCAAACUGGUUCACAUUUCUUGCGUUUUAUCUUUAUUGAUACAUUUCAAAUUUCAUUUCAUAGAUACUAUCAUUGUUCAACCCAUGCUAUGCAAGUGAACAAAGACUUCAAGAACAAUGACAUCGACGAGAUCUACAUUCACUAUCAUCAGCUAUUCAAUGACAGCUACGACGAAAACAAGUAUGCUGUCACUCCAACGAAGUUGUACAGAACAGGAUUCAGCCUAUUCGAGGAUAGUGCACUCGAAGACAACAGGGAUGCGAUCUCGGUCAAUGGAGAGAGUAGUGGUUCGAGCGACGAGGCCAAGCAAACAAACAUGUUAGGGUUGGCGUGAACGUUUCCACCACCACAAGCAGCAGUAAAAGGAAAUCUUCUGACGAGAAGCGACGGGGCAGGAAGAAAUAGAUCUCUACUCGUGAACUAUCUUUCUCAGUUGACUGUCAUCAGUGUCAAGAGGAAGUGGCAGCGAAGAUUAAUACGAUGAUGGCUUCAAACGAAAGCGCAGGCGCUACCUGUGUUGAAGAGUUGUUGGCGACAUGACAACUUGAGCGACGUACACCUUUGUAUUUUUCGCAUCCACACUUCUUGCAUAGAAGUGUUAUCAGGACAUAUUCGCCAUCAUGAAGGACAUAAAUAAGAAAUUUGAGUGGAAUAAGUGGAUGUUCAAUGACUGGUAAAAGUAAUUAUGCCAGUGAUUGUAUGUCUUUGAUGUAACGCCCCGAAUUCUUUUUCAUUAUUAUAGUUAUUUUUAAAUAAAAAUGAGCUCAAGGUGCUA
rnacentral:lncRNA from 1 species